rnacentral:rRNA from 1 species
UACGUAGGGGGCAAGCGUUGUCCGGAAUCAUUGGGCGUAAAGAGCGUGUAGGCGGUCCGGUAAGUCGGCUGUGAAAGUCCAGGGCUCAACCCUGGGAUGCCGGUCGAUACUGCCGGACUAGAGUCCGGAAGAGGAGAGUGGAAUUCCUGGUGUAGCGGUGAAAUGCGCAGAUAUCAGGAAGAACAUCAAUGGCGAAGGCAGCUCUCUGGGACGGUACUGACGCUGAGACGCGAAAGCGUGGGGAGCGAACAGG